CAGCCACAUCACAUUGUAACACCGGUUCCUGUAUGAUCACUGAAGUUAAGCAACAUUGAGCCUGGCCAGUACCUAAAUGGAUGACCACUUAGGAAUGUCAGGUUCUGUAAG